UAUUAGGUUAGGGGGUCAUCCAUAAUUGUCAACCAUUUUCCAAAGUGUACAAAACGUACACUUUUUCAGACCCCCCACCCUCCCUCAAAAAGUGUACAUCAACCAUUUUCAGAUUUCAAGAGAGGAAUCAAUCAUUCUUAAUAAAAAGAAGAUCCUGUUUAAUAUAUUUUAGUUUAAUAUAGAAAUUUGCAUUGAAAAUAAACUAAAACAUAUCUGACUGUUUUAUUUGAUGACAUCUGUCUGUGAUGCUUGUGUUUUGUCAGAAUAAAGAGUACAAAGAUUAGUGUUGCCCCUAUCACACAGUUGGAAUGGUAACUCCAAUGAAAAAGGGCACCUAGAGCAUGCAAAAGAUAAACAAAAGGGCACAUAAAUUAUGCUAUAAAGAAUCAAAGAAUGGAAAUGCAUGGUUAUAUUGCAUUAGUAAAGGAUGGACUGACAGUUGUUGUGGAAUCAGAGCUCAAGACAGCAAUCAAUAAAAGAGUAAUGUUUUAAAACAUUUAAAGUUUUUAAAUUUCCCGCCUGUAUUUCUAUUUAAAAGGUCCCUGUAAAUUUGCCAUUCAUGGCACCAAGGAUUUGUAUAGUAAGUCUUACUAUACAAAUCCUUGGUUUAUGUAUAUA
rnacentral:lncRNA from 1 species